GGGUCAAUGAUGAAACCUCAUAGUAUCUUGAAGAGAGAUGAUGACUUAAAAAUCAUCUCAAAGGAUUACACUGAGGCCC